UGAGGAAUAUUGGUCAAUGGGCGCGAGCCUGAACCAGCCAAGUAGCGUGAAGGAUGAAGGUCCUAUGGAUUGUAAACUUCUUUUAUAGCAGAAUAAAGUGACCCACGUGUGGGUUUUUGUAUGUAUGCUAUGAAUAAGGAUCGGCUAACUCCGUGCCAGCAGCCGCAGUAAUACGGAGGAUCCGAGCGUUAUCCGGAUUUAUUGGGUUUAAAGGGUGCGUAGGCGGAAAGAUAAGUCAGCCUGUGAAAGUUUGCGGCUCAACCGUAAAAUUGCAGUUGAUACUGUUUUUCUUGAGUGUACAUAAGGUAGGCGGAAUUCGUGGUGUAGCGGUGAAAUGCUUAGAUAUCACGAAGAACUCCGAUUGCGAAGGCAGCUUACCGGGGUACAACUGACGCUGAUGCACGAAAGUGUGGGUAUCAAACA
rnacentral:rRNA from 1 species